AUAUAUAAGAUUUACAAAAAGUAAUCGAAGAAAAGAAUAAAUAAAAAUUUAAAUAGUGAAAAAUGAUACAUUUAUUCUGAUCCUACUUUCACAUUACAAUUUGAUGUUCUCAAUUUAGGUUACUGCCAUGAAGUUCAACAUUUUAAAGUCAAUAUCAUUUUUACUCAAUUUUUUUCACCAACUAUGUUAAAACAUCUUAUGCCAGUGCAUUUCUCAGAGGAUAAUCGGACAAGCUUUGUGUGGAAUAAUAAUACCUAGAGCUCUGUUUGGUUUUUCUGGGUGUGUGUUCCUUACCAAGUAAAUCAGGCAUUGUAUUAAAUCAUUGAAGAUCACAUAGCACUAGAAACUACUUUUUUAAUCGCUCCCAGGAUUUUUGUUUUUUUCAGGACAGUGACAGUCCUUGUGACAUGAUUUGAUGGAUGCACCAUUAUACAGUAGCUGCUAAAUUCAAUAGUAAGCACAUCACUGACAAAUGAGGAAUACUCAGGUUGUUUUCCUAUUGUAACGAUCCGCUGUGUGGUAGAUUCAUAUCCCUGAGCUGUGAUCAUCUUUCAGUGAAAACCUAGGAAAAUGUCAUCCAUAGUACUGCCAACCCUGAGACUUAAAACUGUGGAUUCAGUUCUUGCUUUUCCUACAUAGAGAAUCUCCUUUUGAACAGUGGUCUCAUAGCUGUAGCUGUGCCACAUACAGGUCCGGGGGGAGGCACGGGUUCACACUCAGAGUUGGCAAAAAUUUGGAAGCCCUGACAUCCUAUAAAAUGUUACUUGCCCAGAAUUGAAACUUUCAAAUUCAGGUCCUUCUUCCUACUCUACUGAUGAAUUAGAUUUUCUUAGUUUCCCACCAAGGGACACUUUCUAUCACAUUGCUCACAGACAAGACAUAUCUACCCUCCUUCACCCUCACCCAGUGGCUCUUUUCACACCACUGCACCCACCAGGGCAUUUGCAUAUUGUCCUCUAGGGAGGACCUUCCCUUGUGAGUCUGAGAUAAAAACUCAACUCUAACCUUGUCUGAUCAGGACUCCUCAGUUCACUUUCUCACAAUGAGGCUCCCUGCUCAGCUCCUGGGGCUGCUGAUGCUCUGGGUCCCUGGAUCCAUUGGGGAUGUUGUGAUGACCCAGACUCCACUCUCCCUGCCCGUCACCCCUGGAGAGCCGGCCUCCAUCUCCUGCAGGUCUAGUCAGAGCCUCCUGCAUAGUAAUGGAUACACCUAUUUGUAUUGGUAUCUGCAGAAGCCAGGCCAGUCUCCGCAGCUCCUGAUUUAUGGGGGUUCCAACAGAGCCUCUGGAGUGCCAGUCAGGUUCAGUGGCAGUGGGUCAGGCACUGAUUUCACACUGAAAAUCAGCAAGGUGGAGGCUGAGGAUGUUGGGGUUUAUUACUGCCUGCAAGGUAUAGCGCUUCCUCCCACAGUGCUACAGACCAAUACAGAAACCUCCCUGCUGGGGUGUCCCAGCUGCUCACUUGCACUGCUUGUCUGGGGGGUAGCUGGCAGGGUCUCUGAGUCUGCAGAAGAGGAGACUGUUGGAGAAGUCAGGGGCAGGGCUUGCUGUUGAGGACUCUGGCCCAUGAGCGUCUCAGCAGCACCUCAGUCCCACAUGGUCAAAGCUUUUUAAGUUUUCAGGCUCAUCACCACCCUGCCUGUCUUGCCCACAUUUGCCAAUUACAUUCAGUCAGCAUAACAGCCAGAACAUAGGUGCAGUUUAGUGACAACACAAGUGGAAUCCAUGUGGAAAAUGAUCAGCUUGGGGUUUAUUUUACACAAGUUAAUACUUGGUGCUAAUACUUGGAAUUAUUGGGAAAUCGGCAUUUUCCCACUUUCCUUACUUUCUGUUUCACUUUACCACUCACACUAGAUCAUAAACAACAGAACUGUGGUUAAGAAACAGAUUAAAAAAAAAAAAA